UACAUCUCCCCUGUAACGCAGUGCUUUAGAUGUUUACGGUAUGGUCAUACUCGCACUAACUGUAAAGGCAAAGAAAGGUGCUUCACAUGUGGUGAGGAAAAAAAAUCUGAUUUAGAGGAGCACCCCCCUUGCGAAACUAAAUGUUUUUAUUGUAAAGGUCCCCAUAAAUCUACAGACAAAAGCUGCCCCGAAUAUACUAGGCAAAAAAACAUAAAAGAGUUAAUGGCAUUCGAAAAUAUUCCCUUUUUUGAUGCAAGCGAAAUUGUUAAAAAGACGUAUUUGACACGUAAUGAAUUUGUAUAUCAUCCUUCUGACUUCCCUAAUAUUAAAAAUCUAAAUAGUCCUGAAAAGAACUAUCUAAAAGAGAAAGUAAUCCAACCAUCACAAAGACGAACCCAACAUGCAAAAACUGACCCUAUUAAAAGAUCAUACCAACAAGUAGUCUCUGAAAAUAAUACAAAGAAAAGAAUAAUUCAUAAAGGUUAUGAUGUAAAGGCACAUAAUGAUAACUUAAUUUCCCCUAACUCUAGACCCCAAAAAGAAGCUAGCUCUCCAAUUUUUUCAUUAACAAAAGAAAACAGUCUCAAAACACAAAUGCCUUCUACAAGUGCAGUUCAUAGUUUUAAUUCUCAUGAAUCUUCUUGGUACCCAGAUGAAGUUAAAAGCAUCAUCGAUGCAUUUUUAAACAUGUCAGAAAACAAUAAAAGGACAAUAAAAACCUUUUUAUUCAAUCAAAAUUUUGAUAUGGAUAUUGAUCCCGGCUCUCAGUCAGAUUCAUUUAACUAAAAUCAAUUUUCCCUUCACAUUAAUGUCAGGAGUAAAUAAUUUAAAGAUCAUCUUUUGGAAUCUAAGAAGUAUAAACUCUAAUAGGGGCAACUUAAUAAACCUAAUUUACAAAGAAACCCCUGACAUUUUUUUAAUAAAUGAAUCAUGGCUAAAAACCUCUGAUAACUUUAAACUAAAUUCUUACAACAUAGUUAGGCAAGAUAGAAAUGAUGGUUAUGGCGGAGUGGUCACAUGUAUCAAAAAUAAUCUGAUUUUUAAGACAAUUAAAUCUUUUUCUUCCGACCAUAUACAAUAUAUUAUAAUUGAGAUAGGUAAAUUGCAAGUUGUUAACUUUUAUUGUAACUCACAUAAUCACAUUAAUGAGGACAUCCUUAAUGAUCUGAUUUCUUUUAACCCUAAAAAUAUUGUUAUAAUGGGAGAUUUUAAUUCUCAUUCUCCCUUGUGGGAUAAAGCUACACCCAAUAAAGGGGGCAGAAUAAUAAAUGAUUUUAUUUCAAACAAUGGACUUGUAAUCAUGAAUGAUGGUUCACCAACACUUUUUCAACUGUCCCUGUCAUUGCCAAGUGCUGUAGACUUAACUAUGGUAAGCGGAAAUUUAGCUUUACAAGCAACCUGGAACACCAUCAGGGAUUGUGGAAACAGUGACCACUUUCCCAUACGUUUUAUACUUAACAACCAUGACAAUAAUGACUUACAUAACAUCAUUAGGCCCUAUAAUAUUAGAAACUUCAAAAAAGUGGAUUGGGAAAGUUUUCAUGAUAAAGUGUUAAUAGCCCUUUCAGAUUUGAAUUACAACCUGUCUUAUAACGAAUUAAUUGGUCAUAUAAACAUAGUAGCCGAUCAGGUAAUCCCAAUUAAAACAGUUGGCACGUUUAAAAAAAGGGGUAAUCCGUGGUGGGAUGUUGAUUGUACAUCCUGGAUCAGAGAAAGAAAAACGGCCAUAGCAACAUUUAAUAAUAACCCAUCAAUAGAAAAUUAUAUUGCAGCCAAAAAGGCCAUAGCCAUUACUAGAAAAAAAUUAAACAAUAAAAAAAAGGAAAAGUUUAGACUAUUUUGUGAAACUUUAAAUAGAAAUUCUAGUAUUAAAUAUGUUUGGAACAAGGUAAAAAAAUUUAACAACAACUCUAAAGUAAACCGAUUUAAUGUUACAAUUUCAGACAACUUUAAACAAUUGAUCCUUAAUAAUAUGACAGUUGUAAACGUAGACCCCAACUUUAACUUUGUUCGGGUCAAUGAUACUGAGAACAUAAAGCUUUUUUCAUUAAAUGAGCUAAAUCUAGCCUUAAAAAAUAAAAAAUCAUCUGCACCAGGUAUGGAUGACAUGUCAUAUCAAAUGUUCAAAUUCUUACCAUUUAAAGCAAAGCAAAUUCUCCUGAAUAUUUACAAUAACACUUUGAUGGGGGGUGAAAUACCUAUAUCUUGGAAAAAAUUCAAUGUCAUUAGUUUCUUAAAGCCAGAGAGGGAUCCAUCAAAUCCUGAAAAUUAUAGACCAAUUGUCUUAUCUUCAUGCGGAGCCAAAAUCUUAGAAAUUAUGGUUAAAAAUCGACUAGACUGGCGAUUGGAACAUAACUUAGAAUUUUCACAUAAACAGACAGGUUUUCGCAAGGGAAAGGGUAUAUACAAUAAUAUUGCAUAUAUCACUUCAUACAUUAACCUUGCUUUUCAAUCCUCCGAAUCAGUUAUUGCCGUUUUUUUAGAUAUCAAGGCAGCAUACGAUAACGUAAAUAUAUACAAACUUUACGACAAAAUUAAAAAUCUCCAAGUGCCUGGUUUAUUGUGUAAUUUAAUUUUUAAUCUCCUGACGGAACGGUCUUUAUUUUGUAGGGGUAAUGAUGGGUCUUUUUUAGGACCAGUUCAAUCAACUACGGGGGUACCACAGGGCUCCCCCCUAAGUACGAUUUUAUUCAACAUAUAUAUAAGGGACAUUUUUAAUUUAAAUCUGGGAGAAGCAUCUAUAAUUGGGUAUGCUGAUGAUCUGGCAGUAAUUAUUAAGGGUAAAAAUGUCACUUCCAUGGUGAAUAAAAUAAAUAAUGCCCUAGAGCGCAUACACUUAUUUCUCAGUGAACAUAACCUAUCUGUCUCUUAUAACAAAAGCGAGGCAAUUUGGUUUACUAGAGGGAGGAGAAGCAAUGCCCCACCACCUAUACAAUUCAACAAUUCAGUUAUUUCUUAUAAACGACAGGUAAAAUAUCUGGGUGUAAUUCUACAUGAGAACCUAAAAUGGGCACCUCAUAUUAUUAAUAUUACUAAUAAGGCCAAAAAAUCAUUAAAUGUCCUAAGAGCACUUUGUAGGGUAUGGUGGGGUGCCGACCCAAAAACCCUCCUAAUUGUCUUCUUUGCUUUAGUACAAUCCCACCUGGAUUUUGGAUCAAUUUUUUUCAAGCCUUGUUCAAACACUGCACUCAAUAGAUUAGAUGUGGUUUUUUAUGAAGGCUUACGUAUAUGUCUGGGAUGUAUGCGGUCUACCCCUAAGGUUGCACUUUUGGCAGAAGCAUCUGUCAUGGAUCUAGAACACAGAAGAAAGAUAAUUGCCCUUAAAUUCAUUUCUAAAAUCCUAUCUAUAACAAAUCACCCGACUAUACAAAUAAUAAAUAAUAUCCGAAUGAAAGUAAUCCAUAGACCAGAAUUCUGGAAUGAGAACAAAAUGCCAUAUUUAGUGGAAGCAUUACAAUCUUAUAGGCCACAUUUAAAAUCAAUUUAUAGGGGUCCAACUUUUCCCUGUUAUGAGAUUGACUUUCCUAUUCUUUGCAAACCUUUAAAACCCAUAAAUCUUAACUGUAAAAAAGGGGAUGGUAUAUCUAAAAACAUAUUUGCGGCAGAAUCCAACAAAUUAAAAGCCCAAUAUACAUUUAUUUUUUCUGAUGCAUCAAAAAAAUGUGAAAGGGUGGGGUUUGGCAUAUCCAUCCCCUCUUUGAAUUAUAAAUUCUCACAAAGACUUCCCAACAAUUUAAGUAUAUAUAAAGCAGAAAUAAUUGCAAUACAUGAUGCCAUUAAAACUGCUAUUAACCAAAAAAUUAAAAAUGCGAUAGUCUUUUCAGAUUCAAAGGGAGCCAUAACAAAACUCUGCAACCCUUCCUUUGCAGCUAACUCCGAACAUUGGGUUCUGUCUACAAAAAGGCUGAUUGUCACGACUAACAAAAAUGAUUAUAACAUCAAAUUAUCCUGGAUUCCAGGACACUCUGGUAUAACCGGAAAUACGGAGGCAGAUACUCUGGCCAAGAUUGGGACAGACUUAAAUAUUCCUAGAAAAAUAUUAUAUGACAUAAAAGAUAUUUUUAAUCCUCUUAAGCAAGAAAUUUCAAACGUCUUCAAAAAUAAAUGGAAAGCUUUGGUUACAACGAAACAUCACGGCUAUGCCGGGGUUCAAUCUACUUUUAACAGUAAAAAAUGGUACGCCAAUUUGACCUAUAGGGAUAGAAAACACGUUACAACAAUAAUUAGAAUGCGCACAGGUCAUUGCCUGACUAACGCCCAUCUAUAUAAGAUUAAAAUGAAAGGUAGCCCUUAUUGCGACUGCGGUAUGCUUGAUGACCUAAACCACAUAUUUUUUGAAUGCCCUAUUAAUAAUAUACCCGAUCUAGACUUGUAUAAAAUCUUUGUAUUGAAAAAGAAAAUAUCACCAUUAUCCAUAACUCAAAUUCUGUCUGCCCCCGACGACGAAUCAAUAGAAAUAAUCAUGCGAUUUAUAAACAUCAAUAAGAUUAAACUUUGAAGCUCAACUAUCCAAUACCCCUCUUGUAUCCUACAAUCCCGCUUGUUUUAGUGCUUGGUGUGGUCCCUCAUUCCUUUUGUUGUAAUACUAACGUUUUCCUCCCGUAUUAUAGCUACAAACCAUAAAGCCGACGGCCGAUACAAGACAAAGCUAUAGUCACAAGCUAAACAGAACGAGCAAAGUUGUAAUAUAAGAAGAUAUUUCGGAGAUUCCUGCAUGGUCCAGAGCCAGACAAAGAAGGAGUCUCCCCCAAAUCGGGCUGGCAAUUGCCUCGCAGCAAAGCCAUCAACUAAACAAACAACAACAAUAACCUCAAAAAUCUGUUUUAUUUUUUUAUAAAUAAUCCAUAUUAUUAUUUAAAACCGAAAUAAACGAUAUUGUUACCUAAAAAAAAUACUUCCUCACUGUUUGCUAUGAAAAAAAUGGAAGAUUACGUAAAAAAAUGCAUCCAAGACCACAGAAAUCCGUUGGUAAAAGUUAAUUUGCCGGCUCAAAAGCUCUUUUUCGCUGCGAAAACCGACGAUGAAAAAGCGACGAUCGAACUGUAUCAGGAACACAUGAAAAUUGCGUUGGGACAUCAGA